rnacentral:misc_RNA from 1 species
GAAAUGCGAUAAGUAAUGUGAAUUGCAGAAUUCAGUGAAUCAUCGAAUCUUUGAACGCACCUUGCGCUCCCCGGUAUUCCGAGGAGCAUGCCUGUUUGAGUGUCGUGAAAUUCUCAACCUACAGACCCUUGCGGUUCUGCAGGCUUGGAUUUGGAGGCUUGCUGGCUUUUACAGUCGGCUCCUCUUAAAAGCAUUAGCUCGUUCCUUGCGGAUCGGCUCUCGGUGUGAUAAUUGUCUACGCCGUGGCUGUGAAGCGUUCGGAGGGCUUCUAAUCGUCUCGUUAGAGACAGCUUCAUUUGACAUCUGACCUCAAAUCAGGUAGGACUACCCGCUGAACUUAA